rnacentral:rRNA from 1 species
GUGAGGAAUAUUGGUCAAUGGGCGAGAGCCUGAACCAGCCAAGUCGCGUGAAGGAAGAAGGAUCUAUGGUUCGUAAACUUCUUUUGCAGGGGAAUAAAGUGCAGGACGUGUCCUGUUUUGUAUGUACCCUGAGAAUAAGGAUCGGCUAACUCCGUGCCAGCAGCCGCGGUAAUACGGAGGAUCCGAGCGUUAUCCGGAUUUAUUGGGUUUAAAGGGUGCGUAGGUGGUUUGAUAAGUCAGCGGUGAAAGUUUGCAGCUUAACUGUAAAAAUGCCGUUGAAACUGUCGGACUUGAGUGUAAAUGAGGUAGGCGGAAUGCGUGGUGUAGCGGUGAAAUGCAUAGAUAUCACGCAGAACUCCGAUUGCGAAGGCAGCUUACUAAGCUACAACUGACACUGAAGCACGAAAGCGUGGGGAUCAAACAGGAUUAGAAACCCGAGUAGCC